rnacentral:rRNA from 1 species
UACGGAGGGUGCAAGCGUUAUCCGGAUUCACUGGGUUUAAAGGGUGCGUAGGUGGGCAGGUAGUCAGUGGUGAAAUCUCCGGGCUUAACCCGGAAACUGCCAUUGAUACUAUCUGUCUUGAAUACCGUGGAGGUGAGCGGAAUAUGUCAUGUAGCGGUGAAAUGCUUAGAUAUGACAUAGAACACCAAUUGCGAAGGCAGCUCACUACACGAAUAUUGACACUGAGGCACGAAAGCGUGGGAAUCAAACAGG